CGAGCGAGCUUGCUAGAUGAUUUUAGUGCUUGCACUAAAUGAAACUAGAUACAAGCGAGCGGCGGACGGGUGAGUAACACGUGGGUAACCUGCCCAAGAGACUGGGAUAACACCUGGAAACAGAUGCUAAUACCGGAUAACAACACUAGACGCAUGUCUAGAGUUUGAAAGAUGGUUCUGCUAUCACUCUUGGAUGGACCUGCGGUGCAUUAGCUAGUUGGUAAGGUAACGGCUUACCAAGGCAAUGAUGCAUAGCCGAGUUGAGAGACUGAUCGGCCACAUUGGGACUGAGACACGGCCCAAACUCCUACAGGAGGUAGCAGUAGGGAAUCUUCCACAAUGGACGAAAGUCUGAUGGAGCAACGCCGCGUGAGUGAAGAAGGGUUUCGGCUCGUAAAGCUCUGUUGGUAGUGAAGAAAGAUAGAGGUAGUAACUGGCCUUUAUUUGACGGUAAUUACUUAGAAAGUCACGGCUAACUACGUGCCAGCAGCCGCGGUAAUACGUAGGUGGCAAGCGUUGUCCGGAUUUAUUGGGCGUAAAGCGAGUGCAGGCGGUUCAAUAAGUCUGAUGUGAAAGCCUUCGGCUCAACCGGAGAAUUGCAUCAGAAACUGUUGAACUUGAGUGCAGAAGAGGAGAGUGGAACUCCAUGUGUAGCGGUGGAAUGCGUAGAUAUAUGGAAGAACACCAGUGGCGAAGGCGGCUCUCUGGUCUGCAACUGACGCUGAGGCUCGAAAGUAUGGGUAGCGAACAGGAUUAGAUACCCUGGUAGUCCAUGCCGUAAACG
rnacentral:rRNA from 1 species